ensembl:lncRNA PLEKHA8P1 pleckstrin homology domain containing A8 pseudogene 1
UUCCCCGGUUUUACGAGGCGCGCAGAAGGAAGUCGGCAGGCGAGACUGCAGAGGGAGUAGUGCGAUCCUGCGCGCGGGGGAACUAGCUGGAGGGCAAGGCGGGAACACCAUCUAUUGUUGGGGUGAUCGGACCUAACACCAGGUUGUGGGGACAACGAAGUCCAGAAGAGUGAAAGGAAUGAGAAAAGACAGUUUGAGAGAGAAAGUGGGCCCAGGGGGCCAAUGCGAGUAUGGAGGCUGUGAAGGCCCCGAGCCCUGGAAGCCCAGACUAUUUAUUGGUGAUCAAACAAAGAAACAGGGGAAUAUUGUCCUAUUAUGAUUCUCCUGAAGAUGCCUGGAAAGGUUGCAAAGGGAGCAUACAAAUGGCAGUCUGUGAAAUUGAAGUUCAUUCUGUAGAUAAUACAUGCAUGGACCUGAUAAUCCCCGGGGAACAGUAUUUCUACCUGAAGGCCAGAAGUGUGCCUGAAAGAUAGCGGCGGCUGGUGGCCCUGGGAUCAGCCAAGGCUUGCCUGACUGACAGUAGGACCCAGAAGGAUAAAGAGUUUGCUGAAAACACUGAAAACUUGAAAACCAAAAUGUCAGAACUAAGACUCUGCUGUGACCUCCUUGUUCAGCAAGUAGAUAAAACAAAAGAAGUGACCACAACUGGUGUGUCCAAUUCUGAGGAGGGAAUUGAUGUGGGAACUUUGCUGAAAUCAACCUGUAAUACUUUUCUGAAGACCUUGGAAGAAUGCAUGCAGAUUGCAAAUGCAGCCUUCACCUCUGAGCUGCUCUACCACACUCCACCAGGAUCACCACAGCUGGCCAUGCUCAAGUCCAGCAAGAUGAAACAUCCUAUUAUACCAAUUCAUAAUUCAUUGGAAAGGCAAACGGAGUUGAGCACUUGUGAAAAUGGAUCUUUAAAUAUGGAAAUAAAUGGUGAGGAAGAAAUCCUAAUGAAAAAUAAGAAUUCCUUAUAUUUGAAAUCUGCAGAGAUAGACUGCAGCAUAUCAAGUGAGGAAAAUACAGAUGAUAAUAUAACCGUCCAAGGUGAAAUAAUGAAGGAAGAUAGAAUGGAAAACCUGAAAAAUCAUGACAAUAACUUGUCUCAGUCUGGAUCAGACUCAAGUUGCUCUCCAGAAUGCCUCUGGGAGGAAGGCAAAGAAGUUAUCCCAACUUUCUUUAGUACCAUGAACACAAGCUUUAGUGACAUUGAACUUCUGGAAGACAGUGGCAUUCCCACAGAAGCAUUCUUGGCAUCAUGUUGUGCUGUGGUUCCAGUAUUAGACAAACUUGGCCCUACAGUGUUUGCUCCUGUUAAGAUGGAUCUUGUUGAAAAUAUUAAGAAAGUAAAUCAGAAGUAUAUAACCAACAAAGAAGAGUUUACCACUCUCCAGAAGAUAGUGCUGCACGAAGUGGAGGCGGAUGUAGCCCAGGUUAGGAACUCAGCGACUGAAGCCCUCUUGUGGCUGAAGAGAGGUCUCAAAUUUUUGAAGGGAUUUUUGACAGAAGUGAAAAAUGGGGAAAAGGAUAUCCAGACAGCCCUGAAUAACGCAUAUGGUAAAACAUUGCGGCAACACCAUGGCUGGGUAGUUCGAGGGGUUUUUGCGUUAGCUUUAAGGGCAACUCCAUCCUAUGAAGAUUUUGUGGCCGCGUUAACCGUAAAGGAAGGUGACCACCGGAAAGAAGCUUUCAGUAUUGGGAUGCAGAGGGACCUCAGCCUUUACCUCCCUGCCAUGAAGAAGCAGAUGGCCAUACUGGACGCUUUAUAAGAGGUCCAUGGGCUGGAAUCUGAUGAGGUUGUAUGAUGGCUGCUGGGCAGCACCUCCUAACUUCAGGGAAUAAAGUGCUAAAGUGUAAAAAAAAAUAAAAAUAAAAAUAAAUAAAUAAAUAAAAUUAAAAAAAAUAAAAACCA